CAGCCGCCGCGGUAAUACGAAGGGUGCAAGCGUUAAUCGGAAUUACUGGGCGUAAAGGGUGCGUAGGCGGUUGUUUAAGUCUGUUGUGAAUCCCCGGGCUCAACCUGGGAAUUGCAGUGGAUACUGGAUCACUAGAGUGUGGUAGGGGAUAGUGGAAUUUCCGGUGUAGCAGUGAAAUGCGUAGAGAUCGGAAGGAACAUCUGUGGCGAAGGCGACUAUCUGGGCCAACACUGACACUGAGGUGCGAAAGCGUGGGGAGCAAACAGGAUUAGAUACCCCCGUAGUCCCUGUCUCUUAUACA
rnacentral:rRNA from 1 species